rnacentral:lncRNA from 10 species
UGCUGAUAUUUUAUUUUGAUUUUUGGCAUUAAUAUUCAAAAUGAGACUGGUUUAUAAGUUUUCUUUUUAUAUAUGAUUUAGACAUCAAUAUUAUAUGUGUUUAAUUAAAGUAAUUUAGAAUUUCUCUUUUUCUAUGUUCAGGUGCAAAGAUGUUCAAAUGUCCCUGUUACUAUAUCUUGACCUUGAUUUUCUGUUUCUUUGGGGUAAUUGUUAUUACAUUGAUUUUUCCUGUGAAAAAUUGUUUUAAGCCUUUUAUCUCUACUAAGGUGAAUUUUAGUACAUUGCAUUUUUCAAGGAUGCUAUCCAAUUAUUUAAUUUUUCAAAUAUAUUUGUAUAGAGUCAAACAAAAUAGUCUGUAAGAAUCUUUUAAAAUUUACUUUGUUUCAAGGUUAUUUCCCCCAUAACAUUUUUAAAUUCAUAUAUCUGUGCUUUCUCCUUUUUUUUCUGAGUUAGAUUAGGUGGUAGUUUAUCUAGUUUAUUAAUUUUUCCUCAAGAACAAGCAUUUUGAUUGAUUUAUCAAUUUUGUUAUAUUUUUGCUUGCUGUUUUAUUAAUUUCUACUUCUAUAUUUUAAAAAAUUUUUCUUCUGCUUCCCCCAUCCCCUACCUACUUUUCUGAGUUGGGAAUUUAAUUCAUUUAUUUUUAUUUAUCUAAGUAUCAUAAGUAUGUAGAGCUAUGUAUUUUCCUAUAGUCACUGUUUUAAUUGUAUCUCAUAAAUGUCUUAGGAAGAGUUCAUGAAUAUUUUCUGAGUUUCCAUCUGUAUCAAACUGUUUCCCUAUAGGCUUGGUACUUUAAAAACAGUCUGCCUACAUAUAACACUCUGGGCUCAUAUUUUCCUUUUUUGAGUUUCUUAAAACUGUUCUUGCACAGUUUUCUUGCUUUGUAUGCUGUUUUAUGAUCUUAUUUCCUUUGUAAGUGAUUUGGCCUUUUUUGCUUGGAUGCCCAGAAGAUUGCUUGUAUAUAUUUAAUGUCUAAUAGGCCUAUUAUACUGUGUCUUAGAUGUAUGUCUAUAUAUUACAAUUGACCAUUCUGGGUUAGUCUUCUUAGGUACACAAAUAUAUCCAAGUUUUCUUUUAUUUAUACAAAGUUUUAUUGGAUUGUGGUUUAAUAUGUGAUUAAAUAUGUGAUUUCUCUCAUUUCAUUGUUUUUGUUUUUCUUGCCAGAAACCCAAAUGAUAAUGCCCAGUCUUCUUUCUCUCUGAUGGUUUUCACCUUAUUUAUUUUGUUUUCAUUUUCUUGGAAUUUUUCAUAUAUUUUUAAACUUCUGCUUUGAGAGAAAUCAAUUUUCUCUUGAGUACUUUGAAAUUAUUCUUCCUACAUAAGAUGUUUUUGCCUUUUUCUUUAAUUUCCCUCCUGGGGACUAUCUUUUUUUCGUAUAUUACUUUAUUUAAUUCUGCUUUUCUGAUUUAACAUUUUUUCUUUUUGCAAAAUAUUUGUUUAAAAUAUUUAAUUCAAGAUGGGGUGUUAUGUUACAGAUUGUUUUCAGAGCCUCCAGUUAAAUUGGGGUUCCAGCACCUGUGUGGAUAGCUAAGGGGAAAUGAAGGGGAGCUGGAUAUGGUUGUUUACAAGGUGUCUUUCACGGGACACAUCUUUUACCUGGCAGACAGCCUAGUGUCUAGUUGUCUAACCUGUGACCAGGAAGAUUUCUCACACAGGAAACUUGUUUAUACUGGCAGAUGCCCUUUUGGCUCUUGUCUGACCUGUGUUCAGUUUAUGCCUGCCUGACCAUUGCUCUGGUUCUGGGAGCUCAACUUUGUGCUUCCCCGUCCCAUGUCAGGGAAAGAUAGGCCUGGCGUAGCCCCUGAUUCUUCAGAUGGAAGGUGGGAAUUCAAUACUCCAGCACAAAAGGAAACAAUUAAAAGAUUGUACUUACAAAUCUUGGGCAAGGAAGGUGGGAUGGCAGUCCUCUGUCCUAGGGUCAUGUGAGGCAGAAAUGAAGGAGUCAGGCAGAGAGACAGGGCAUGUGGCAAAUAGUUGUAUGUAUAAGGGAAUACAGUGUGGGUUAUUUUAAGUUCUUAGGCAAAUAUCUGACAGAUUCACUUAAAAGGAAACAGCGGAAGAGUGGGUAGUCCUAUUGAGAGACAGGACUAGCUGGAUUUCCUAAGUCGACUAAGAAUUCCUAAGCCCAGCUGGGGAAGGUUACCACACCCACCUUUAAACGCGGGGCUUGUAACUCAGCUCACACCGGACCCAUCAGGUAGUAAAUAGUGCUCACUAAAAUACCAAUUAGGGUAAAAGCAGGAGGUAAAGAAAUAGUCAAAUCAUCUACUGCCUGAGAGCACCGGGGAGAGACAAUGAUCGGAAAAUAAAUCCAGGCCUUUGUGCCAGCAGGGGCAACCCCCUCUGGGUCCCCUCCCAUUGUAUGUGAGCUCUGUUUUCAUUCUAUUAAAUCUUGCAACUGCACAUUCUUCUGGUCCGUGUUUCUGCCGGCUCAAACUGAGCUUUCGCUCUCCAUCCACCAUGGCUGAACGCCACAGUCGCAGACCUGCCGUUGACUUUCAUCCCUCUGGAUUUGGCAGGGUGUCCACUGAGCUUCUGAUUCAGCGAGGUGCUCAUUGCUGCUCCCAAUCAGGCUAGAGGCUCGCCAUUGUUCCUGCACCGGGAAGUGCCCGGGUUCAUCCUAAUUAGGCUGAACACUAGUCUCUGGGUUCCAUGGUUCUCUUCCGUGACCCACAGCUUCUAAUAGAGCUAUAACACUUACCGCAUGGCCCAAGGUUCCAUUCCUUGGAAUCCCUGAGGCCAAGAACCCCACGUCAGAGAACAAAAGGCUUGCUGCCAUCUUGGGAGCAGCCGGCCCCAUCUUGGGAGUGGCCCACCACCAUCUUGGGAGCUCUAAGAACAAAGACCUGCUGGUAACACUAUCUCUGGCCACCUAUCUCUGGCCUAUCUAUCUCUGGUUCCUAUCUCUGGCCAUGGCUUGAGCCAUUUGGGUGCAGUGAACAGGAAACUGUAAAGAGUGACAGCCCUGCUUCUACAAAAUGGAUGCCAAGUAUCUCUGACUAAAUGCAAUUCACAGAGGUCUUCUGGGUCAAGGGAGAGCUAUCUUUCCUCAAAAUCCUCAGAUGACUUGAAUGUAUGAAGAUGACCUGGCAAUUCAUCCUUGCUCACUGUUCCAGUGCUCCUACUAGUGAAAGCACUUAGGUGUUUGAAAUGACACCAAAGAAGCUCUUUCUGAGUUGGGAAAAAUUGGUAACAGUAUAACACCUGGUGAAUAUUAUCAUCAUUAUUAUUGGAACCCACUUUUUCUCCUAUAUCUAUUUUGCUCAUUUCCAUGGAGCUAAAGACAUUGUGAAUGAUAAAGUAGACUGGAAACCUGACCAGCGUGGCCCCUUCAGACUAUACAGGAAAUGAGGUUAUCAGAAAUUCCUUUUAAUAAUGCAAAAGCAGAAAUGUUGAAACAAAGGUUUUGAUGAAUUAUAUUUUUAAGGCCAGACUGAUUCUCUGUGUUCAAAUAUAAGCAUGAAUUAGUUCCUUCACCAACAUAUUUGUACUGUUAUAUACACCAGUUUAUGUCUCCUCGUAGUAUAUGGUCCAUUAAAACUAAGAAACAUGACAGUGAAACUACUGAUUUUUGACCAUUUACCAUAGCAACUCAUCAUGAAAAAGAACACAUUGUAGCACUAAAUCAGACAAAUAUUGCAUCAUGGAGACAAUAAGGUUAUUAAGAAGAUUUUUUUCUCUAACUUUUAAAUAUUAGGAUGUUGUACUAUGAGUGAUUUUGAUGUAGAAGUUAGAGAAGCAAAUUCAAUUUAUCAGGAAAAUUGCCCUCAUAUUUUAAAGCAAUAAAUGGAUUAAACAAAGAGAUGUUUCAGAAAAAAUGUGAUCUCCUAAAAACAGCACUAUAUAGUCUGUCUUUUUCCACCUUGACAAUCUACUUUCUGUCCUUUUUGUAUUCAUAAGAUCAAAAAAGUGGCAAUAAAUUGUUGCUUUUCCUAGUUGUGCCUGGAUUGUGUAUAGUAUAUGUUAGACAAACCUACUUUCUCCUGAUCACAGCAAAGGGUUAUAAAUCUAUCAGCA